CACCCCCCGCCCCCCAACGAAAGAGCCGGUACUCGUAACAGCGGCAUCGAGAGGCAGCAAUGGACCCCCACGAGCACGAGGUCUACGGCGGCGACAUCCCCGAGGAGGAGGGCGAGAUGGAGGCCGACGACCUGGAAAUGGCCUCCGGCGCCACCGCCGAGGACGAAUCCGCCUCCAAAGAGGAGAACAUAGAGGAGAUGAAGAAGAGGAUGAAGGAGAUCGAGGAGGAGACCGGCGCCCUAAGGGAGAUGCAGGCCAAGGUCGAGAAGGAGAUGGGCGCCGUCCAAGAUUCUUCUGGUGCUGCUGCAACCCAAGUCGAAAAAGAGGAGGUGGAUUCUCGUUCAAUCUAUGUUGGUAAUGUAGACUAUGCUUGCACUCCUGAGGAAGUUCAACAGCACUUCCAAUCCUGUGGGACAGUGAACAGGGUUACAAUUCUAACAGACAAAUUUGGUCAACCCAAGGGAUAUGCAUAUGUGGAGUUUGUUGAAGUAGAUGCUGUUCAGAACGCUCUGCUGUUAAAUGAAUCAGAGUUGCAUGGUCGUCAAUUGAAGGUGUGUGCUAAAAGAACCAACGUUCCAGGGAUGAAGCAGUACCGGGGACGGAGGCCUAAUCCAUAUACGGCAUUUCGACCCCGACGACCUUACAUGCCACCCCCAUUUUAUUCACCUUAUGGAUAUGGGAAUUGAAGUCUGGAUUCACUGUCAAAGCCAGACCACAAGGAUGCCUCCUGCCAUCAGGCCUACGGAUUCUCAGACUAGUUGGCCACCUUCCAAAUCAGCACAUAUCAGCAAGUCUCCAAGGUUCAGGAGGCCCAUGCGCUACCGGCCAUACAACUGAAAUAGUUUGUGUUUUAACUGCACCGCAGCCACUCCUUGAUUCUUGGAUCAGGAACAUGAUCAGAUUGAAAGCCAGAUUCCUAAUGUGUACCUUGAUAUAAAGAACCAUUCUACACGCUUGUACUAUCUUCUGCAGAUGGGAAUUUUAUUGUAACUUGGAAAUUGUUCAGGCUUUUGACCCGCCCAUUCUAACCAAUGGUUGCUCGCUUGUGGUAAAUACCACGUGGAGAUGUCACUAUUGUUAUUGUUGUA